CUGGAAUGUGAGGCACGCCGGGCGAUAGAGACGGCGAGGACAAUAAACACCGCGCUAAAAUAAUUGACCCUGGUGAGAUAGAUGGAACAGAGGAUGCCAAGAAGGAUGGAAGGAGAAAAAAAAAAUGCAAUUUUCCGUCUCGCCACUUUCCCGGAGAAGACAGUAAUUCGGGCCAGGAGGUCGCUAUUUAAUUACCCCUGACGAAGUAUCCUUGCAAAACGCAUUGGAAGCCCUGAUGAAGCAUUCGUGCGAAACACGCUGGGGGCCCUGAUGAAGGUUCCGUGAAAAACACAUCGUGAGUCAAGAUGAAGCAUCCCUGUUAAAUACAUCGGAUUGGUGGAAUACUGAAGUGCCACUGUUACACAAUAUGCACCCGAAUAUAAAAAUUGUGUAUAUGAUGCAUAGUUUAAAUUUUUUAUUUUAAUGCAUUUUUACUAUUCUUGUGUACUUUUGUUAUAUGGACCAUUACAUUACA